AGCCAUAGAGGAAAAUUGACACUCUACUUUCUUUGGAUGUUUGCGUCGCUCAAUUUAUUACAUUGUUCGUGAACGGAAUAUUGUUAUCCUGAAUUUUGAAUACCUAAUUUAAUUAACCACCAUGGCUAAGGGUGGUAAUUAUAAUGGUGAUUUAUUUGAAUAUAUUAAAGUAAGUGAAGAUGAAGAUGACUCCAAUGCGGUGGAAAUUCCAUGCGAAAUGGAUGGUACACUGUUACUGUCAACCCUCGUGGCCCAAUUCCCAGGAGCUUGUGGGCUGAAAUACCGGCAUCCAGACAGCAAGUCAAUCAGAGGGAUCCGCCUAAGCGAUGGCAAGUUGCACCCGCCUACAGAAGUUGGUUGGGGCAAACUACUCUACAUUUGUGUGUUCCCAAAAGAAAAUAAACGAAAAAUGGAAGAUGUUUCUCCCGAAAACUCUGCAGCUAAGACCAAACGCUUAGAAAAGAAAUUAACCUGCUCAGAUUUAAUUUGUUUGGGAUUGCCAUGGAAAUCUACCGAGGAGUCUAUAAAGCAGUACUUUGAGCAGUUUGGUGAAGUGGUAAUGGUACAAUUAAAACGAGACAAGAAUGGAUCCUUCAAAGGUUUUGGGUUCAUUCGUUUUGCCACUUAUGCAUCCCAGAUGAGAGCUUUAGCUCAGAGACACAACAUUGAUGGCCGCUGGGUAGAUGUACGUAUCCCUAAUUCAAAGGAAGGUGUGGUACCCCAAAUGCCUUGCAAAGUAUUUGUGGGAAGGUGUACUGAAGACAUGACUGCUGAUGAUCUUCGUGAAUAUUUUUCGAAGUUUGGAGAAGUAACUGAUGUGUUUGUUCCUCGUCCAUUCAGAGCCUUUGGGUUUGUUACUUUCUUAGACCCAGAAGUGGCCCAAAGUCUUUGCGGAGAAGACCAUGUAAUUAAAGGCGCAUCUGUGUCAGUAUCAAGUGCAGCACCAAAGAUUAAAACUAAAUCUCAGAACUGGAAGGAUGAUUCUUAUGGACCCAAUAAUUGGGAAGGCAAUCGCUCUGGGGGCUCUUCUGGAGGUCCCAGCAACAAUGGAGGGAACAGUAACAUUGAUUCUCUGAACAUGCAAAACUUAGGGAUCAACCCUAAUGGAGGACCACCAGCUAAUUUUAACUUACCCAUUAGUCUAGUGGCAGCUGCACUUAAUCAAGCAGGUUGGGGUGGAUUUUUAGGAGGACCUGGUAAUUCUGGCCCAAAUAAUUGGCAGGGUGGGCCACCACAGGGUAAUCCAGGUAAAAAUUGGAAUGGUAAUCAAAAUUGGGGUCAAAAUGGUCCACCACCAUCAUGGAAUCAAGGUGGAGGCAAUCCAGGCUGGAAUGGUGGGGGUAAAAGUGGCAACUGGAACCAAGGAAAUUGGCCUAAUGGCCAGGGCAACUGGAAUGGGAAUGGAAAUGGGGGUGGUUCUAGUUCUGGUUCUGGUAGUGGUGGAUGGAAUAACAACAAGCCCCAGACAUGAGUGUGAGUGACAUCUGUCUGGAUGUGGAUAAUCUCAUCAUUUACAAGGUAGAGCUGUUCAGGAUGGCAAGUUGUCAUUGGUGUGCACAUGUUGUCAUGUGUGUGUACUUGCGAGAUGUGUUUGCUGCAAUCUAUCUCCUUGGAAUGAAGUGAACUGUGUCUACAUCCUGUGGAGCUAUGGUAAGUGGUGGGUGUGUAAACAAUGGUAUGCUCUGAUAUUUAACUAAGUAUGAUAUCUGUAUUUGUUCUCUCUAUGCAGUAGCUAUAGAAAAUGGAUAAAAGGCCUAUCAAGAGUGAUAAUAACCAGUAUGUGUUUGACUGAUAAGUCUGUGGGAAGCUAAACAAUGACUGCAAUCCAGAAUAAAAAUUGCUUAAGAAAGGCUUAUUGGUGUAGUCUAAAUGUACACACUACACUAUUUUACUCUGUCAUAAAGAACUAUGGAUUGGGCAAAGGCAGUUGUACCACCGACGAUAAGUGGGAAGUAAGCAGAGCUACAACUAAAAACGAUAUGGCAAGCAACGAGAAUAAAUACAAAUAUAGGUCCCCGCUGCGCGCUGCACCUGCGUGACAAUUAGCAACACACCCGCGAGGAGAAUUUGAGCAUAAUUUAAGUUUUUAAAUAAAUUGAGAUAAGAUUAA